UGUGCCCCACCCAUCAAGGUUAUAUAAAUAAGUUAUAGACCUAUAAAUAAUUGGCCAGUAAUACCUGUUCAUCCAGUCUUCACCAUGAACACCUUCCUGUCUCUCGUCAUCCUGAGUGUGAGUCUGCCCUCCUUGCUGGCGACUCUAGACUACCGUGCGCUGUGGCAGUUCAGGUCUAUGAUCCUCUGUACCAUCCCUCAGAGCUGGCCGGCACUGGAUUAUGCAGACUAUGGAUGCUACUGUGGAAAGCUGGCUGACGUUUUAGUUAUUUUUCUACAGCAGCCAAGCAACAAAAUAUCCUAAAAUAUAAUAAAGAUUGAUCAAAAAGAGAAGGCAACAAUCUUUUGAAUCAUGUCUACUUCAUUCUCUGUCUCUCUAGGUGCUGUGAGGUGCAUGAUGGGUGUUAUUCUGACUCAUGGCAACAUGAAGACUGCUGGGGUAUCUUAGACAACCCCUACACUGAAGUCUAUUCAUUCUCAUGUGACAAAGCGGCAAAACAAAUCACCUGCAAUGCUGACAAGAAUCGGCCCUGUGAGAUGUUCAUCUGUGAAUGUGACAGAAAAGCAGCCGAAUGUUUUGCACAAGCGGGUUACAACCCAGAACACGAGCACUAUCCUAGUGAAAACUGCAAAUGAACUCAAACUCAAUAAAGGUUUCAAACUGUC